ACACACCUUUGUGUGUGUUCUGGUCGUACAAAACACAGCAGCCAAGAAGGGCUCUCAAGCUCAAAACCUAACAAGCAUAAAAUCAACAAAUUGAAGGGGUAAAUCCAACCUAAAUCGAAAUCCAAGCACGAAUUCAUGAUCACCUCGAUGAAGGGAUCAUAAGUUUGACUCUUGACAAGCUAGAUGGAGGCUUGGGGAAAGAAGCGGGUCAAACGGAUCGUAUACGCGGAAAAGAGCAUAAUCCGGAUACUAGGAAUAAAUAUCGAUUGAAUGUUGACAUCGCUAUUACUUAGCGGCUACUAAGGCAAGGUAUCGAAACGGGUCAAUAUAUUGAUCCGAGCCAGGUUUGUAUAAUGAUUCAACUCGUCAUGUAGAACUUGAGGUUCUAUAAGUGUUAGACAAGGAUAAAAUAUAGAUAUUCGGUUAUCAUUAAGGUAAACCGAAUAAAUUGGGUCAUGAUUAUGGUAUUUUAGAAAUAUAAUGGUUUCUAAACAAGAUUAUAGUUUUAAAAGUGAGAUUUUGGUCGAACAUGGCUUUAAAGGUCCUUCGUCGUAAUAGGAGGGGUAAAAGUGACCAAAAUGCUCUUAUAAGUGAAAUUAAGCAAACGAUCCCUAAAGGUUGCUUAGAAAUGAGUUUUGUAACCAAAUAGAUACUUGUAUUAAGUAUAAAAAGUGAAAUAUGUGAAUCUUUGGGUCAAUUGACUCUAUAUGAGUCUUUGCCGUAAAAUGAUAAUCCGAGGGGUAAAACUCGGAAUAAAUAGAUCUCCACAUUAAAUCCUCCACACAUAUAGUUGUGGUGGAAGAUAAAUUGAUAAAUAAUAUGGAAGUACAAUGCUAGAAGUGAAUGGGUAUGAAUUAUGCGGUAAAAGUGCUUAAAUACCCUUAACGGGUCAAAAUAAGCUUCUAAGUCAAAACGGGUUAAAGAAGGUAUACAAACCCGUGAUUUUGAGCCUAAUAUAAUAGGAGAUAUUGAAAUUAUGAAGUUCAUGGGUUUAAAGAUCAAAUAGGCAUGUUUGUUUGAUAAAAUCACGAACGGGUCAAAAUUUGGUAAAAAGGGUAAUAAGCCAAAGAUUUAAAAGUCUUAAAUUUUUGUUAAUCCGGAUGUCGGAUUUUAA